rnacentral:tRNA from 1 species
GGAGCAGUGAUUAAGUGCUCAGCUGCUAACUGAAAGGUUGGUGGUUUGAACCCACCACUGCUCCA